AGGUGUGUAAAUGUUAUAAAUUACUUAACAUCUGUGUGCUGUGUGUGUGGUGAGGAUUUGAAAUUCGUUUCGCAUAUUUAUUUCCUUUUCUUCUCCCAGUCUUUCUCUCUUAUUGGUUUUCAUUAUCAGAUGCAAUUUUAUUCUGUGAAAUUGACAUUGAUGUUUUUUUUAUUCUGCAAAUGAUAAAAAAGAAAAUCAUUUUUUCUUUUAGAAAGCAUUAAAUGUCACGCGAUUACAUUGUUAAGAAAAUAAUUUUUGUAGAACCAAAUGAUAAAAAAAAUUAUGUGAUGAGAUUUUCUAUUGCUUUUAAUGUGGUUGUUUUGUUUGUUUUCUUUCUGCAAGUUGCGUUUUCUACUCUCUUUUUUUGUUGCAAAAUGAGUUGUAAGUUAUGUGUUUGUUGAAAUACCUAAAUGAAAUUUUAGUUUGUAAUCUUAAAAAUCCAUGUGUGUGCUGGUUUUGGGAUGCCUCUCUGUUCAUCAUGAUUUCUGAUUUAUUUUAUUUAUCACUUAUUUUCUAUGUUGAUAUGUGUGUUGUGUGUUCUGUGCAAGCAAACUCUCUCUAAUUUACAUAAAUUAUUAUUAUGAGUUAAUUUUUUUAAUAGUAUGCCUAUUUGCAGCACUGAAAACAGGUAACCCAACAACAUCUAAGAUAAGAAAGUAUUCUUUUCUUAAUAGGUUCUCACCAUCAUCAAGGAAGUUAACUGUCAGAGAAUUAAAGCUAAAGUGAUAACUGAUAGAGCCUCUGGAAGAUCGAAAGGAGUUGGUUUUGUUACUUUUAAAAAGGAAGAUCAAAAGGAGUUGGAUGGUCUGAAUACUAAAUAUUUUGAUGGUUGGGUUAUAUUUGUUGAUCUUGCUAAAUCAAGAGAGUCCAAUCCUUCUUACCCAAGAAAGGAAUCUUUUCUUUUAUUUAUUGCUAUUAUUAUUUUUCUUCUUCAUGUUUGGCUUUGUCACACUGUUGUUUAAUGAAGGGCAUACACCACAUUUUUGUCUCUUA